GUUGGAAUGCAGAGAGGUUUUGGUAUUGGUAGGUCUGGGAAAAGCUGCAUGUUGUUGCUGCUGCGACUUGUGAUAAGAAGAAAGGUAAAUUUGUGGGUUCGAUGCACGUCGUCUCAUCUCUUUUGAUUUCUGUCUCCGCCCAGCUUUUCUCUGUAUCAUCCACAUUUUCACUUCUCUUUUUGUCACUUAAUCUUCAUUUAGUCUUGUGAUUGUCUUUUGUGGAAUAGAAUUUUCCACCUUAUGAGAUGGGUGGAUAAUAAUUUUCAUUCAUAGUCUCGUAAUUUCAUAAGAGGUAAGCAAACACAUGUGCGUGAGUUUUUAAAUUUUUGUAUCUCGUUCCAAAUCCGACAGUGUACUGUUGCUAAGAUAAUUACAAUACUGUGAUAUCAUAUUAUUCUAUAGUUUCUUUCAAACCCAUGUCUUAAUAUAUUUGUAUUAAAAAGUCCCUCGUACCAUUAUUUCUUACUUCUAUCUGUUUCUUUCUAUAUUACUUUCUUUCUGAAAUAUUGCACUUAAUUAUAUACAUUCGUAACAGUAUAAAUUUUUAUAAUAUAAAAUUUUAAAUGAAUCUACUCUAUAUUUUAUUUCACGACAGUUACUUUAUAUAUACGGUAAAUAUUAGUUGAUCUCGUCAAUUUAUCUACUUUUCUUAUAUUUAUCUGCUAAAUUAUUUCAUGACUCAAAAUAUCAAGUCAUUUUCAUUCUCGUAUAAUUAAAUAUAUUCUCAUUAGUCAUUAUCGUCCCUCAUGGCCAAUUUCAAUUCUCAUUCCCCUCUCAUUGUUGCGUGCAUAUGAUACAAGACUUUCCAAGGACCCUAUCAGAAUGUGAAUGAGAUCACCGGAAUCCAACUGAAAUACGGUUGGCCCCAGUAAAUAUGCAAAGAUAAGUGUAUUGAGGGGAAGAGUGAUAUAUGGAAACAAUAAUUGAAAUGUAAGAAGGAGACAGAGGCGAUGAAGGGGUAAGAUAAAGAUUAGAGAAGCAUUCGGUGAUGUACAAGUUUGUGAUACGUGAAAAAGCCGGGACGACCAUUUUAUUCCUUUUUGGCUGAUCGACUUACAUUUGCAUGUGGAUUUACUUGAAAUUAUUCCACCUUUUUGGCUUUCUUUAACUUAUUACAUGCAUGCUUGUCUAGUAGUGUUUGUGUGGUUGUCUAUAACUAAUUAGUCAAGCUAGGUUUGCUCAUACACAUAUACUUCGUGUUCCAAACUAUUAUUAUAUAUCUCAACAAUCAUCAACUGAAUUUUCAGAAGGUUAUGAAAC
rnacentral:lncRNA from 1 species